rnacentral:rRNA from 1 species
GGUAGUCCACGCCGUAAACGAUGUCGACUUGGAGGUUGUGCCCUUGAGGCGUGGCUUCCGGAGCUAACGCGUUAAGUCGACCGCCUAGGGAGUACGGCCGCAAGGUUAAAACUCAAAUGAAUUGACGGGGGCCCGCACAAGCGGUGGAGCAUGUGGUUUAAUUCGAUGCAACGCGAAGAACCUUACCUACUCUUGACAUCCAGAGAACUUAGCAGAGAUGCUUUGGUGCCUUCGGGAACUCUGAGACAGGUGCUGCAUGGCUGUCGUCAGCUCGUGUUGUGAAAUGUUGGGUUAAGUCCCGCAACGAGCGCAACCCUUAUCCUUUGUUGCCAGCGGUUAGGCCGGGAACUCAAAGGAGACUGCCAGUGAUAAACUGGAGGAAGGUGGGGAUGACGUCAAGUCAUCAUGGCCCUUACGAGUAGGGCUACACACGUGCUACAAUGGCGCAUACAAAGAGAAGCGACCUCGCGAGAGCAAGCGGACCUCAUAAAGUGCGUCGUAGUCCGGAUUGGAGUCUGCAACUCGACUCCAUGAAGUCGGAAUCGCUAGUAAUCGUAGAUCAGAAUGCUACGGUGAAUACGUUCCCGGGCCUUGUACACACCGCCCGUCACACCAUGGGAGUGGGUUGCAAAAGAAGUAGGUAGCUUAACCUUCGGGAGGGCGCUUACCACUUUGUGAUUCAUGACUGGGGUGAAGUCGUAACAAGGUAACCGUAGGGGAACCUGC